rnacentral:rRNA from 1 species
UGCAGUCGAGCGCGCCUUCGGGUGAGCGGCGGACGGGUUAGUAACGCGUGGGAACGUGCCCUUCUCUACGGAAUAGCCUCUGGAAACGGAGAGUAAUACCGUAUACGCCCUUUGGGGGAAAGAUUUAUCGGAGAAGGAUCGGCCCGCGUUAGAUUAGGUAGUUGGUGGGGUAACGGCCUACCAAGCCUACGAUCUAUAGCUGGUUUUAGAGGAUGAUCAGCAACACUGGGACUGAGACACGGCCCAGACUCCUACGGGAGGCAGCAGUGGGGAAUCUUAGACAAUGGGGGCAACCCUGAUCUAGCCAUGCCGCGUGAGUGAUGAAGGCCUUAGGGUCGUAAAGCUCUUUCGCCUGUGAUGAUAAUGACAGUAGCAGGUAAAGAAACCCCGGCUAACUCCGUGCCAGCAGCCGCGGUAAUACGGAGGGGGUUAGCGUUGUUCGGAAUUACUGGGCGUAAAGCGCGCGUAGGCGGAUUAGAAAGUUGGGGGUGAAAUCCCGGGGCUCAACCCCGGAACUGCCUCCAAAACUGCUAGUCUAGAGUUCGAGAGAGGUGAGUGGAAUUCCGAGUGUAGAGGUGAAAUUCGUAGAUAUUCGGAGGAACACCAGUGGCGAAGGCGGCUCACUGGCUCG